UCUAUAAUGCAGUUGAGCGCUGAGGUUGGUACUUGUACCAACUGGAUGAGCAGCGAACGGGUGAGUAACGCGUGGGGAAUCUGCCUUUGAGCGGGGGACAACAUUUGGAAACGAAUGCUAAUACCGCAUAAAAACUUUAAACACAAGUUUUAAGUUUGAAAGAUGCAAUUGCAUCACUCAAAGAUGAUCCCGCGUUGUAUUAGCUAGUUGGUGAGGUAAAGGCUCACCAAGGCGAUGAUACAUAGCCGACCUGAGAGGGUGAUCGGCCACAUUGGGACUGAGACACGGCCCAAACUCCUACGGGAGGCAGCAGUAGGGAAUCUUCGGCAAUGGACGAAAGUCUGACCGAGCAACGCCGCGUGAGUGAAGAAGGUUUUCGGAUCGUAAAACUCUGUUGGUAGAGAAGAACGUUGGUGAGAGUGGAAAGCUCAUCAAGUGACGGUAACUACCCAGAAAGGGACGGCUAACUACGUGCCAGCAGCCGCGGUAAUACGUAGGUCCCGAGCGUUGUCCGGAUUUAUUGGGCGUAAAGCGAGCGCAGGUGGUUUAUUAAGUCUGGUGUAAAAGGCAGUGGCUCAACCAUUGUAUGCAUUGGAAACUGGUAGACUUGAGUGCAGGAGAGGAGAGUGGAAUUCCAUGUGUAGCGGUGAAAUUGCGUAGA
rnacentral:rRNA from 1 species